GGCAUAUUCUCCUUCCUGCACCAAAGGGUAAGAACUCAAAGUCAUUCCCUUUGAAGUCCAUAUCGGAACUCAGAAACCUCUGUGGUCUAAACAUCUCUGGAUCUUCCCAUAUCAAAGGAUCCCUCAUGAUAGCCCAGACAUUAACCAAGAUUUGAGCGUCUUUAGGAAUUGUGUGAUUCAUCACUUGGCAGGUUUCGAUAGCACGAUGUGGAAGCAGAAAUGGUGCUGGAGGAUGCAACCUAAGUGUUUCCUUCACACAGGCUUGGACAUAGGACAUCUGCAGCAAUUGAGAUUCUUUUGGGUAAUCACUUUCAC
rnacentral:misc_RNA from 1 species